GGCCGGAACAAGAUAAUUUAACCACCGGUAGAGGUCAAACUUGGACAUCGAUCGAAGAGAUGGCGUUAGCAAGGGCGUGGACCAAUACGUCUACGUGUCCGAUCGUAAUAAUCAAAAGUCUGAUAGUUUUUUGAAGGAGGUUUGCAACAAAUUUCAUGCUUUGAUGCAAAAAGAACCGUACCGAAAAGUGAACUCAAUAGGCUCAAAGUAUCGAGAGAUGAAUAAGAAGAUAUCGGCAUUUUGUGGUUAUUACAACAAUGCUCAUUCGAAUCGGCCAAGUGGGGCG
rnacentral:lncRNA from 1 species